GAGGCCGAUAGGCGUAGGCGAUGGACAACAGGUAGAGAUUCCUGUACCAGUGCUAAUUGUUUAACCGAUGGGGUGACACAGAAGGAUAGGGAAUCGCACGAAUGGAAAUGUGCGUCCAAGCAGUGAGUGUGAGAAGUAGGCAAAUCCGCUUCUCGCGAAGCAUGAGCUGUGAUGGGGAAGGAAAUUAAGUACGGAAGUUCCUGAUUUCACGCUGUCAAGAAAAGCCUCUAGGAAGAGUAGUACUGCCCGUACCGCAAACCGACACAGGUAGAUGAGGAGAGAAUCCUAAGGUGAGCGAGAGAACUCUCGUUAAGGAACUCGGCAAAAUGACCCCGUAACUUCGGGAGAAGGGGUGCUCUAUUAGGGUGCAAGCCCGAGAGAGCCGCAGUGAAUAGGCCCAGGCGACUGUUUAGCAAAAACACAGGUCUCUGCAAAACCGUAAGGUGACGUAUAGGGGCUGACGCCUGCCCGGUGCUGGAAGGUUAAGAGGAGUGCUUAGCUUCGGCGAAGGUACGAAUUGAAGCCCCAGUAAACGGCGGCCGUAACUAUAACGGUCCUAAGGUAGCGAAAUUCCUUGUCGGGUAAGUUCCGACCCGAACGAAAGGCGCAACGAUCUGGGCACUGUCUCAACGAGAGACUCGGUGAAAUUAUAGUACCUGUGAAGAUGCAGGUUACCCGCGACAGGACGGAAAGACCCCGUGGAGCUUUACUGCAACCUGAUAUGGAAUGUUUGUACCGCUUGUACAGGAUAGGUAGGAGCCGAAGAGACG
rnacentral:rRNA from 1 species